rnacentral:rRNA from 1 species
GACGAACGCUGGCGGCGUGCCUAAUACAUGCAAGUAGAACGCUGAAGGAGGAGCUUGCUUCUCUGGAUGAGUUGCGAACGGGUGAGUAACGCGUAGGUAACCUGCCUGGUAGCGGGGGAUAACUAUUGGAAACGAUAGCUAAUACCGCAUAAUAGUAGAUGUUGCAUGACAUUUGCUUAAAAGGUGCAAUUGCAUCACUACCAGAUGGACCUGCGUUGUAUUAGCUAGUUGGUGGGGUAACGGCUCACCAAGGCGACGAUACAUAGCCGACCUGAGAGGGGGAUCGGCCACACUGGGACUGAGACACGGCCCAGACUCCUACGGGAGGCAGCAGUAGGGAAUCUUCGGGAAUGGACGGAAGUCUGACCGAGCAACGCCGCGGGAGUGAAGAAGGGUUUCGGAUCGUAAAGCUCUGUUGUAAGAGAAGAACGAGUGUGAGAGUGGAAAGUUCACACUGUGACGGUAUCUUACCAGAAAGGGACGGCUAACUACGUG